rnacentral:rRNA from 1 species
GACGAACGCUGGCGGCGUGCCUAAUACAUGCAAGUAGAACGCUGAAGGAGGAGCUUGCUUCUCUGGAUGAGUUGCGAACGGGUGAGUAACGCGUAGGUAACCUGCCUGGUAGCGGGGGAUAACUAUUGGAAACGAUAGCUAAUACCGCAUAACAGUAGAUGUUGCAUGACAUUUGCUUAAAAGGUGCAAUUGCAUCACUACCAGAUGGACCUGCGUUGUAUUAGCUAGUUGGUGGGGUAACGGCUCACCAAGGCGACGAUACAUAGCCGACCUGAGAGGGUGAUCGGCCACACUGGGACUGAGACACGGCCCAGACUCCUACGGGAGGCAGCAGUAGGGAAUCUUCGGCAAUGGACGGAAGUCUGACCGAGCAACGCCGCGUGAGUGAAGAAGGUUUUCGGAUCGUAAAGCUCUGUUGUAAGAGAAGAACGAGUGUGAGAGUGGAAAGUUCACACUGUGACGUAUCUACCAGAAAGGACG